GUUGCUUAGAUUCGGCCUAGCAAGUAAAGGCUUCUUUCUGUCCGUGAACGCCUUAGGGCUAUGAAGUGCGCGCCGUGUCCGUAAAGUUAAAAGUUAAAAAGUACAAGUAAGGUCUACAAGUUAAAAGACGUAAAACACGGAAAGUUAAAAGUGGCUAAAAAUAUAAGUUGUAUGUUUGAUAGAAAUACUAAAAACGUCGUAAAAGUUUAUAAUAACAAAAUAAUAACAAGUUACACCGAAUUACGAACGAAAAGCCGUAAAACCACGUGAAAUGUUACAUAGAAGAAACACUGAAACAGAUUAAAAACAAAAUACGAAGAAAAAGGUCCAGAGGACCUUUUUCUUCUUGGUUUAUUCCCUUCAAGCUUUGCAUCGACCUCGACAGGUGGCGGUUGUGGCCAACACAAAUAACCACGCUAAAUACGGACAGAAAAGUAAGACGCAUCGGGUGGACAUAACCUCAAUCCAGUCUACCUAACAACAACCGCACCAACUCGGACCUGUAUCAGCUAUUGUUGAUUCGACACCGUUUCGGGACGCCGAAAUCGGUGAGAAUCUACCAGAACAAUCAACCGGGUCGAUAAGGAAAGCUUCAAAGAUCGCAACGCAAACAACUAACCAGAAACCUACACCUGUAAAACCGCAAGUAUAAGAGCAAACGUGAUGUUGAGUUUAGGGUUAUUGUCGCCAAUAAAUAACCCCGCAGUACUUUGUAAACCCAA